rnacentral:rRNA from 1 species
UACGAAGGGGGCUAGCGUUGCUCGGAAUUACUGGGCGUAAAGCGCACGUAGGCGGCUUUCUAAGUCGGGGGUGAAAUCCCGAGGCUCAACCUCGGAACUGCCUUCGAUACUGCAGGUCUCGAGUCCGGGAGAGGUGAGUGGAAUUCCUAGUGUAGAGGUGAAAUUCGUAGAUAUUAGGAAGAACACCAGUGGCGAAGGCGGCUCACUGGCCCGGUACUGACGCUGAGGCGCGAAAGCGUGGGGAGCAAACAGG